AUGUCGACAGUUUCAUUCUGGAAUUAGGUAGGAAAAACUGGUCAACCCAUUGGUUCACAGCCUGCGCGUUCACAUCAUUUUAAACUCUCUCUCGCCCCUUAUCACUUUGGUGUGGUUUCUGCUUCGCUUCUCUUGUUGUUUUAGUUUCAAUGGCCUCAAGCACCCAAACAGCAUCCUCAUCUCAUCCUUCAUCAUCUGCUCCUCGGAGGAAGUACGAUGUUUUUCUGAGUUUCCGGGGUGAAGAUACUCGCAGGACUAUUGUCCCCUUUUUAUACCGGGAAUUGCAAAACAGAGAAAUUGAAACAUUCAUGGAUGACACAGGGCUUAGCAGAGGGACGUCUAUUGCUCCGACUCUGCUAACAGCAAUCCAAGAAUCCAGGUCAGCGAUUGUUGUUCUCUCACCAAACUAUGCGUAUUCUAGAUGGUGUUUGGACGAAUUGACAAUGAUCAUUCAGUGCAUGGAAUAUAAGAGCACAACAGUCAUCCCAAUCUUUUAUGAUGUGGUUCCCUCUGAUGUGCGACAUCAGAAAGGGAGUUUUGCAAGAGCCUUCACUAAGCACCAAGAAGGGCUUGCGCAAGACGAUGACUACCCAUAUAAGUUGAACCAGUGGAGAGUUGCUUUAACAAAAGUUGCCGGUCUCUCUGGCUUGGAAUCAAACAAAUAUAGAUCUGACUUGGAACUUGUCGAAGACAUUGUGGAAACCGUUUGUAGUAAAUUACGACCUCUUGAUGUUGAGUGGGCAUUGUCGUCUACCGGAGAUUUUGUAGCAUUUGAAGCAACAAGACAAGCCAUGGACAAGGUAAUGAGGGCCCUUCAAGAUGAUGAGAUCACUGCUAUUGGGGUCUUUGGUACGGGAGGCGUUGGCAAGACAAGUAUGGUGAAACAUGUCGGUGCACAAGCCCGGAAAAUUGGGCUUUUUAAUCAUGUGGUUAUGGCUGUCGUAUCCCAAACACCUAAUUUGAGAAAUAUUCAAGGCACACUGGCUGAUCUGCUGGGCUUAAAGUUGCAGGAGGAGACAGCUAUUGGAAGAGCCGCUAGAAUAGUGGAGAAGAUAUUAAGAAGAUAUAAGAUCCUUAUAAUCUUGGACGACAUUUGGGAGAGAAUAGAUUUGUCUAGCAUUGGAAUACCGAGCCAUGAUGAGCUUCAAAAGUGCAGUUCCAAAAUUAUAUUCACCACAAGGAGAUCGAAUGUUUGCCAUACCAUGGAGAGCCAAGAAAACAUUCCUCUCCAAGUCUUAUCAAAAGAAGAUGCUUGGAACCUAUUUGUGAAGAAAGCAAGAAAGCGUUUUCAUGAGUCAAAAAACUUGUAUGAUGUAGGGCGGAUAGUAGCAAGAGAAUGUGCUGGUCUCCCAGUUGCAUUGGUAGCAGUUGCCAGGGCACUUGGAGAUAAAGAUUUAGAUGAUUGGACGGAAGCAGCUCGACGACUAAAGGUUGCUCAACCUGCCAACUAUGAAGAUGAUGGAGCUGUGUUCAGAUGUAUAAAGUUAAGCUAUGAUUACUUGAGACCUGAUGAUGACAACAUUGCCAAGUCAUUCUUCUUGCUUUGCUGUCUAUUCCCUGAAGAUUUUGAUAUCGAGAUCGAAGACUUGUUGGUGUAUGCAAUUGGGAAAGGAAUACUUCAAGAUGCCCACACAAUACAAGAAGCCAGAGCCAAAGCCCAUUCGGUGGUCAAUUACCUGAAAGCUUCUAGCUUGCUUUUGGACGGUGCAUACCCCGGAUUCGUGAAGAUGCAUGAUGUCAUUCGAGAUGUGGCCAUAUCAAUUUCAUCAUCGGAAGAUGGCCCACGGUUUUUGGUUAAAGCUGGUUGUGAAUUAAGGGAUUGGCCAGCGAUUAAUAUUGCACAUGAAGGCUACUCUGCAAUCUCGCUAAUGAGGAAUGAAAUUCACGAGCUUCCCAAAACGUUGGUAUGUUCAAAACUCCAGAUUUUAUUACUACAGAGCAAUAGUAUAAAUGAGAUUCCAAACCCUUUCUUUCAAAGUCCCAAUGAAUUGAGGGUCUUAGAUCUCAGCGAGACUAGUAUUUCGUGUCUACCCUCAUCAUCAAGUCUUCUAACCAACCUCCAAGCUUUGUAUUUAGAUGAAUGCAAUAGAAUAGUUGAUAUAUCCAUGCUCGGAAAACUGAAGAACCUUCAGAUUCUUAGUAUGAAGAACCUUGACAUUAUUAAUAGGGGAGGAACUCGUCAGAAAGCGUUGCCGAAAGAAAUAGGACGCUUAACCAAGCUUAAGAUGUUGGAUGUUACGGGUGCAUGUUUUGAAACAGUUCCAUCUAAUGUGGUAUCAAACUUGAAUGGAUUAGAAGAAUUGUACAUGAAAUGUGACUUUUCUGACUGGGGCAGCAGAAUAGUUGAGCGCAGCAGUUUAUUUUCUUCUGUUUUUGGCACUGCCAAGAAUGCUAGCUUUGAUGAGUUAACAAGCUUAUCACGCUUAAACAGUUUGAAAGUUCACAUAUCUGAUGUAGAAUGCUUGCCCCGAAAAGUUAGAUUCAAUCCCAAUUGGGUCAACUUUGAUAUAUGUAUCAGCAGAAAAGAUUUUAUGAAACAGUCCUACUACGGACGCUUUUUCGAGAGGAAACUAACUGUCAAGUUGAAUCCACGUCAACGUCUCUUUCGGUAUGUGACUCUAAACACAAGCACGGAGAGUUUACCAGAAUGGUUUAUCAAGGUGGUGACAGUGAAAGCAGAGAUACUGGAGUACAUAGGGUACAGUGGCUUAAAGGACAUUCGUUUGGAACACGACCUUGGGGGAUUACAUGCGCUGAAGUGUCUUGCUGUAAUUGAGUGCCAUAAUGUGAGUGGAAUGUUGAUGAACCAAGAAAGAAGGGUUGUAAAUAAACCUGUGUUUGAGAGCUUGGAAGAGUUGUAUCUAGAAGGGGUCCAUGGCCUGCGGUGCUUAUGUUAUUGUAAGUUGACACCUGGGUCUCUGUGCAAUCUUAAGUUGUUAAAUGUGAGAAAUUGCCUGGAAUUGGAGGGUGCACUUUUACAGUCAAAUUUGUUGCAAAGGCUACAAAAUCUGGAAAUACUACAUUGUGAGUACACGGAGGAUGCGAGAGAAACCAAAUUGGAAUAUGUGUUUGGAUUUGGAUGGAUGGGAACAGAACAAAUUUUCUUACCAAAGUUGAGAGAGAUAACAUUAUGUUAUUUUAUGAACCUAAGAAGCAUAUGCUAUGAUUGUCCUCCCAAUGGAUUCUUCCGUAAUCUUAGCAGUUUGGCAAUUCGUGGCUGCCGCAGAGUGGAAUAUUUGUUCACGCGCAAUGUAGCUCAAUCUCUUUUGCAAUUGGAACUCCUUUGGGUGGAGGAUUGCUCUGACUUGGUAACAGUUAUUGACCCACAGGGGAAAACAGUAAUCGACUACCUAGAUUUUCCAAAAUUGAAGGAAAUAUAUUUGAAUAGUCUUCCAUGUCUCGUAUGGAUCUUCAACAGACACAAUAGGGUUGUGUGCCCUUCAUUAGAACACUUGUACGUGUACAGUUGCCCCGAACUUUCAAACCUUGCUGCUUCUGACUUCCAAAGCAAGAACCACGUCCAAGUCAAUAAUGAAGGACAUUUUGCGAUUAUAUUUGAAAGUCUCAAUUGACCCGACUGAUUUUGAAUCCGGGCCUGCCUAUUGUGCUCACGAACAACCCAAUGAAGAUGAUGAAACAGGAAAAAUCCCCAUUAAGGCAUAUUUCCUUUGCACCAGAUUGUUCCACCGCCAAUUCAAUCCAGAAGAGUUUCCUCAGUUCUUCUCCAAAAAAGAAAGAGAUUUCUCAAUUGGCUCUUAAAUGUAAUGCGUAGUAUACAUUGUGUAGAUUGUCCUAUGCACAGACAAUUUCUAUUGAUAUGGGAAACUGCAUGUGAUUAAGAACUUCUAGAUGAUCUUGUAAUGAUAAUAAUCCUCAUUCCUCAGUGUCCAUAGUUGCUAUUUGUUAAAUAUGAGCUCUUGAUAUGUCUUUGUUAAGGCUAUUA